CGAACGGGUGAGUAACGCGUGAGGAACCUGCCUCAAAGAGGGGGACAACAGUUGGAAACGACUGCUAAUACCGCAUAAGCCCACGGUGCCGCAUGGCACAGAGGGGAAAGGAGCAAUCCGCUUUGAGAUGGCCUCGCGUCCGAUUAGCUAGUUGGUGAGGUAACGGCCCACCAAGGCAACGAUCGGUAGCCGGACUGAGAGGUUGAACGGCCACAUUGGGACUGAGACACGGCCCAGACUCCUACGGGAGGCAGCAUG
rnacentral:rRNA from 1 species